GGGUUGUGAGGUUAAGCGACUAAGCGUACACGGUGGAUGCCCUGGCAGUCAGAGGCGAUGAAGGACGUGCUAAUCUGCGAUAAGCGUCGGUAAGGUGAUAUGAACCGUUAUAACCGGCGAUUUCCGAAUGGGGAAACCCAGUGUGUUUCGACACACUAUCAUUAACUGAAUCCAUAGGUUAAUGAGGCGAACCGGGGGAACUGAAACAUCUAAGUACCCCGAGGAAAAGAAAUCAACCGAGAUUCCCCCAGUAGCGGCGAGCGAACGGGGAGGAGCCCAGAGUCUGAAUCAGUGUGUGUGUUAGUGGAAGCGUCUGGAAAGGCGCGCGAUACAGGGUGACAGCCCCGUACACAAAAAUGCACAUAUUGUGAGCUCGAUGAGUAGGGCGGGACACGUGGUAUCCUGUCUGAAUAUGGGGGGACCAUCCUCCAAGGCUAAAUACUCCUGACUGACCGAUAGUGAACCAGUACCGUGAGGGAAAGGCGAAAAGAACCCCGGCGAGGGGAGUGAAAAAGAACCUGAAACCGUGUACGUACAAGCAGUGGGAGCCUCUUUUAUGGGGUGACUGCGUACCUUUUGUAUAAUGGGUCAGCGACUUAUAUUCUGUAGCAAGGUUAACCGAAUAGGGGAGCCGAAGGGAAACCGAGUCUUAACUGGGCGUUAAGUUGCAGGGUAUAGACCCGAAACCCGGUGAUCUAGCCAUGGGCAGGUUGAAGGUUGGGUAACACUAACUGGAGGACCGAACCGACUAAUGUUGAAAAAUUAGCGGAUGACUUGUGGCUGGGGGUGAAAGGCCAAUCAAACCGGGAGAUAGCUGGUUCUCCCCGAAAGCUAUUUAGGUAGCGCCUCGUGAAUUCAUCUCCGGGGGUAGAGCACUGUUUCGGCAAGGGGGUCAUCCCGACUUACCAACCCGAUGCAAACUGCGAAUACCGGAGAAUGUUAUCACGGGAGACACACGGCGGGUGCUAACGUCCGUCGUGAAGAGGGAAACAACCCAGACCGCCAGCUAAGGUCCCAAAGUCAUGGUUAAGUGGGAAACGAUGUGGGAAGGCCCAGACAGCCAGGAUGUUGGCUUAGAAGCAGCCAUCAUUUAAAGAAAGCGUAAUAGCUCACUGGUCGAGUCGGCCUGCGCGGAAGAUGUAACGGGGCUAAACCAUGCACCGAAGCUGCGGCAGCGACGCUUAUGCGUUGUUGGGUAGGGGAGCGUUCUGUAAGCCUGUGAAGGUGUGCUGUGAGGCAUGCUGGAGGUAUCAGAAGUGCGAAUGCUGACAUAAGUAACGAUAAAGCGGGUGAAAAGCCCGCUCGCCGGAAGACCAAGGGUUCCUGUCCAACGUUAAUCGGGGCAGGGUGAGUCGACCCCUAAGGCGAGGCCGAAAGGCGUAGUCGAUGGGAAACAGGUUAAUAUUCCUGUACUUGGUGUUACUGCGAAGGGGGGACGGAGAAGGCUAUGUUGGCCGGGCGACGGUUGUCCCGGUUUAAGCGUGUAGGCUGGUUUUCCAGGCAAAUCCGGAAAAUCAAGGCUGAGGCGUGAUGACGAGGCACUACGGUGCUGAAGCAACAAAUGCCCUGCUUCCAGGAAAAGCCUCUAAGCAUCAGGUAACAUCAAAUCGUACCCCAAACCGACACAGGUGGUCAGGUAGAGAAUACCAAGGCGCUUGAGAGAACUCGGGUGAAGGAACUAGGCAAAAUGGUGCCGUAACUUCGGGAGAAGGCACGCUGAUAUGUAGGUGAAGUCCCUUGCGGAUGGAGCUGAAAUCAGUCGAAGAUACCAGCUGGCUGCAACUGUUUAUUAAAAACACAGCACUGUGCAAACACGAAAGUGGACGUAUACGGUGUGACGCCUGCCCGGUGCCGGAAGGUUAAUUGAUGGGGUCAGCGCAAGCGAAGCUCUUGAUCGAAGCCCCGGUAAACGGCGGCCGUAACUAUAACGGUCCUAAGGUAGCGAAAUUCCUUGUCGGGUAAGUUCCGACCUGCACGAAUGGCGUAAUGAUGGCCAGGCUGUCUCCACCCGAGACUCAGUGAAAUUGAACUCGCUGUGAAGAUGCAGUGUACCCGCGGCAAGACGGAAAGACCCCGUGAACCUUUACUAUAGCUUGACACUGAACAUUGAGCCUUGAUGUGUAGGAUAGGUGGGAGGCUUUGAAGUGUGGACGCCAGUCUGCAUGGAGCCGACCUUGAAAUACCACCCUUUAAUGUUUGAUGUUCUAACGUUGACCCGUAAUCCGGGUUGCGGACAGUGUCUGGUGGGUAGUUUGACUGGGGCGGUCUCCUCCUAAAGAGUAACGGAGGAGCACGAAGGUUGGCUAAUCCUGGUCGGACAUCAGGAGGUUAGUGCAAUGGCAUAAGCCAGCUUGACUGCGAGCGUGACGGCGCGAGCAGGUGCGAAAGCAGGUCAUAGUGAUCCGGUGGUUCUGAAUGGAAGGGCCAUCGCUCAACGGAUAAAAGGUACUCCGGGGAUAACAGGCUGAUACCGCCCAAGAGUUCAUAUCGACGGCGGUGUUUGGCACCUCGAUGUCGGCUCAUCACAUCCUGGGGCUGAAGUAGGUCCCAAGGGUAUGGCUGUUCGCCAUUUAAAGUGGUACGCGAGCUGGGUUUAGAACGUCGUGAGACAGUUCGGUCCCUAUCUGCCGUGGGCGCUGGAGAACUGAGGGGGGCUGCUCCUAGUACGAGAGGACCGGAGUGGACGCAUCACUGGUGUUCGGGUUGUCAUGCCAAUGGCACUGCCCGGUAGCUAAAUGCGGAAGAGAUAAGUGCUGAAAGCAUCUAAGCACGAAACUUGCCCCGAGAUGAGUUCUCCCUGACCCUUUAAGGGUCCUGAAGGAACGUUGAAGACGACGACGUUGAUAGGCCGGGUGUGUAAGCGCAGCGAUGCGUUGAGCUAACCGGUACUAAUGAACCGUGAGGCUUAACCUUACAACGCCGAAGGUGUUU
rnacentral:rRNA from 1 species